GCGGGUGUCGUAUAACGGUUAUUAUGAUUCCUUCCCAAGGAAUAAACGGCGGUUCGACUCCGCUCACCCGCU
rnacentral:tRNA from 1 species